UAUCUUGCAAGCACGACCAAUUUAGACAGGAGCCAAUUAGCCUACCAGCAUGUCUUUUUGGGGUGUGGAAGUAAGCUGUAGUACCUGGAGGAAUCCCAUUCAAGCACAGAGAGAACAUGAAAACUCCAUGAAUAUAGAAGGCAUUCAUUAA